UAAUUUUCUAAAUCUGAAAUUUCAUUCUAGAUAUGUGAGAUUGCUGGUGCAGAUGGACAGCUUUGUAAUAGAGAAGUUGACGGAAAGGCAGCUUGAUACCUUGGUUAAAACCUUUGAAGAUUUCACAAGACUUCAGGAAGCUACAUCCAGAGGCAGACUUUUUGAAGACUGGGCUACAAUUGCAGACCAAACUGUUGUCUAUGCCCAGCAAGAUGGAAAGGUGCAUUAAGAGCUGGGUGACAUGACUUCAGAUGCUGAAGGGGAGAGUGCUUUCAAAGUCCUGCCCAUUCUGGAGGAAGGGUCCACAGAACCACAACCACAUAAUUCUGGAAGCCAUUCAUUGACAUACAACCUGUACGUUUUGUUUUACUUUAUAUAUAUAUAUAUAUAU